GACAGCAGUAGCCACGGUAAUACGAAGGGUGCAAGCGUUACUCGGAAUUACUGGGCGUAAAGCGUGCGUAGGUGGUGGUUUAAGUCCGUUGUGAAAGCCCUGGGCUCAACCUGGGAAUUGCAGUGGAUACUGGGUCACUAGAGUGUGGUAGAGGAUAGUGGAAUUUCCGGUGUAGCAGUGAAAUGCGUAGAGAUCGGAAGGAACAUCUGUGGCGAAGGCGACUAUCUGGGCCAACACUGACACUGAGGCACGAAAGCGUGGGGAGCAAACAGGAUUAGAUACCCCUGUAGUCCCUGUCUCUUAUAC
rnacentral:rRNA from 1 species